rnacentral:rRNA from 1 species
CCCUUAGAUGUUCUGGGCCGCACGCGUGCUACACUGAGUGGAUCAGCGGGUCAGGUUGCGCGAAAGUGUUUCCUAAUCUUUAAAUCCGCUCGUGAUGGGGAUUGACGGUUGCAAUUUUCCGUCAUGAACGAGGAAUACCUUGUAAGCGCGGGUCAUCAUCCCGCGCUGAAUACGUCCCUGCCCUUUGUACACACCGCCCGUCGCUCCUACCGAUUGAGUGGUCCGGUGAGGCUUUGGGAUCUGAGCGGAAAGAGUGUUUCGCUGUUUCUGCCCGGAAAACUCAGUCGAACCUUAUCAUUUAGAGGAAGGAGAAGUCGUAACA